rnacentral:tRNA from 1 species
AAAAAGGUAAGCUAAAUAAGCUUUUGGGUUCAUACCCCGACAAUGAAUAAUUUUCCCUUUUUA